AGAGCGCAAGGGGAAUGCCUUGGCAUCAGGAGCCGACGAAGGACGUGACAAGCUGCGAUAAGCCACGGGGAGGAGCAAAUAUCCGAUAUAUCCGUGGAUUUCCGAAUGGGGGAACCCGCUUGAGCAAUACUCAAGCAUCGUGCGUUGAAUCAAAUAGGCGUACGAAGGGAACGGCCUGAACUGAAACAUCUAAGUAGGGCCAGGAAAAGACAUCAACCGAGAUUCCGCUAGUAGUGGCGAGCGAACGCGGAGGAGGCCAAACCAGAGGAUUAUAUUCUCUGGGGUUGCGGACAGACAUCAUGACCAGAGGAAGUUAGGAGAACGGCGUGGGAAAGCCGGCCACAGAAGGUGAGAGCCCUGUAUCUGAAAACGAAGACUGGCAGUCUGGAUCCAGAGUACCGCGGGACACGUGAAACCCCGUGGGAAACCGGGUGGACCACCAUCCAAGCCUAAAUACUACCUGAUGACCGAUAGAGGAGCAGUACCGUGAGGGAAAGGUGAAAAGGACCCCGGGAGGGGAGUGAAAGAGAACCUGAAACCUUGUGCUUACAAGCAGUCAAAGCACGUUAAGGUGUGAUGACGUACUUUUUGUAGAACGGUCCGGCGAGUUAUAGUAACGAGCAAGCUUAAGGUAUUGAGUACCGGAGGCGAAGCGAGAGCGAGUCUGAAUAGGGCGUUUAAGUUCGUUGCCAUAGACCCGAAACCGGGUGACCUAUCCAUGAGCAGGCUGAAGUGAGAGUAAAAUCUCAUGGAGGGCCGAACCGACCCCCGUUGCAAUGGUGGCGGAUGACUUGUGGAUAGCGGAGAAAUUCCAAUCGAACUCGGAGAUAGCUGGUUCUCCCCGAAAUAGCUUUAGGGCUAGCGUUAUGUAAGAUUACCGGAGGUAAAGCACUGAAUGGUGGCGGGGCCGAUAAGGUUACCAAGACCUAUCAAACUCUGAAUGCCGGAUAAUUGGUGCAUAGCAGUCAGACAGCGUGAGAUAAGUUUCGUUGUCAAAAGGGAAACAGCCCAGACCCACAGCUAAGGUCCCAAAUUCAUGCUAAGUGGAAAACGAUGUGGAAUUGCGAAAACAACCAGGAUGUUGGCUUAGAAGCAGCCACUCAUUAAAAGAGUGCGUAAUAGCUCACUGGUCGAGUGACUCUGCGCGGAAAAUAUAACGGGGCUAAGCAUGAAACCGAAGCUUGGGCUUGUCUUAGGACAGGGGUAGGGGAGCGUCGAGUAUGGGGUGAAGUCAGAGCGAGAGCACUGGUGGACUGUACUGGAGUGAGAAUGCCGGAAUGAGUAGCGAGAAUUAUGUGGGAAUCAUAAUGGCCGAAAAUCUAAGGUUUCUUGGGGAAGGUUCGUCCGCCCAAGGUAAGCCGGGAGCUAAGGCGAGGCCGCGAGGCGUAGUCGAUGCACAUACGGUAGAAAUUCCGUAACCACCGAAACUUAAGUCAGAGGGACACUUCAGGAUAGCGGAACCCGGGCGUUGGUUGACCCGGGCGAAAGGGAGCGAAAAUAGAGUAGCGAAGUCCGCGAUGCCUGGAGGCGAGAAAAGCUCUGAGGUAUGCUAAGGUGCCCGUACCGCAAACCGACACAGGUAGAUGAGGAGAGAAUCCUAAGGCCAACGGGAGAAGGGUUGUUAAGGAACUCGGCAAAUUGACCCCGUAACUUCGGAAGAAGGGGAGCCUCGAAAGAGGCCGCAGUGAAUAGGCCCAAGCAACUGUUUACCAAAAACACAGGUUUGUGCUAAAUCGAAAGAUGACGUAUACGAGCUGACGCCUGCCCGGUGCUGGAAGGUUAAGAGGAGAUGUGCAAGCAUUGAAUCGAAGCCCCAGUGAACGGCGGCCGUAACUAUAACGGUCCUAAGGUAGCGAAAUUCCUUGUCAGGUAAGUUCUGACCCGCACGAAUGGCGUAAUGAUUUGGGCACUGUCUCAACAGCCCGCCCGGCGAAAUUGUAGUACUGGUGAAGAUGCCAGUUACCCGCAACUAGACGGAAAGACCCCAUGGAGCUUUACUGUAGCCUAAUACUGAAGAUCGGUAAUGCAUGUACAGGAUAGGUGGGAGCCAGCGAAACCCGGGCGUCAGCUCGGAUGGAGGCAACCUUGGAAUACCACCCUUGUAUUGCUGGUUUUCUAACCUGCGGCCAUGAAUCUGGUCGGGGGACACUGUUAGGUGGGCAGUUUGACUGGGGCGGUCGCCUCCA
rnacentral:rRNA from 1 species